rnacentral:rRNA from 1 species
AGCGAACGCUGGCGGCAGGCCUAACACAUGCAAGUCGAACGAACCUUUCGGGGUUAGUGGCGGACGGGUGAGUAACACGUGGGAACGUGCCUUUAGGUUCGGAAUAACUCAGGGAAACUUUUGCUAAUACCGAAUGUGCCCUUCGGGGGAAAGAUUAAUCGCCUUUAGAGCGGCCCGCGUCUGAUUAGCUAGUUGGUUGAGGUAAUGGCUCACCAAGGCGACGAUCAGUAGCUGGUCUGAGAGGAUGAUCAGCCACAUUGGGACUGAGACACGGCCCAAACUCCUACGGGAGGCAGCAGUGGGGAAUCUUGCGCAAUGGGCGAAAGCCUGACGCAGCCAUGCCGCGUGAAUGAUGAAGGUCUUAGGAUCGUAAAAUUCUUUCACCGGGGACGAUAAUGACGGUACCCGGAGAAGAAGCCCCGGCUAACUUCGUG